AAGAUUUUAAGUUAACUAAAACUAGGGUCCUUCAAAGUCCCCAAUAAAAGACAUUCCUUUUAAAUCUUA
rnacentral:tRNA from 1 species